UACGUAGGGUGCAAGCGUUGUCCGGAAUUAUUGGGCGUAAAGAGCUCGUAGGCGGUUUGUCGCGUCUGCUGUGAAAACCCGAGGCUCAACCUCGGGCCUGCAGUGGGUACGGGCAGACUAGAGUGCGGUAGGGGGAGAUUGGAAUUCCUGGUGUAGCGGUGGAAUGCGCAGAUAGUCAGGAGGAACACCGGUGGCGAAGGCGGGUCUCUGGGCCGUAACUGACGCUGAGGAGCGAAAGCGUGGGGAGCGAACAGG
rnacentral:rRNA from 1 species